GACCGUUCAGUGGCCUAGUGGUGGAGCGUCCGCCUCGGAUGUAGGAGGUCGCGGGUUCUAACCCCGGCCGAGUCA